AUUGAACGCUGGCGGCAGGCCUAACACAUGCAAGUCGAGCGGAUGAGGAAAGCUUGCUUUUCGAUUCAGCGGCGGACGGGUGAGUAAUGCCUAGGAAUCUGCCUGUUAGUGGGGGAUAACUCGGGGAAACUCGGGCUAAUACCGCAUACGUCCUACGGGAGAAAGUGGGGGAUCUUCGGACCUCACGCUAACAGAUGGGCCUAGGUCGGAUUAGCUAGUAGGUGAGGUAAUGGCUCACCUAGGCGACGAUCCGUAACUGGUCUGAGAGGAUGAUCAGUCACCCUGGAACUGAGACACGGUCCAGACUCCUACGGGAGGCAGCAGUGGGGAAUAUUGGACAAUGGGCGAAAGCCUGAUCCAGCCAUGCCGCGUGUGUGAAGAAGGUCUUCGGAUUGUAAAGCACUUUAAGUUGGGAGGAAGGGUAUUCACCUAAUACGUGGGUACUUUGACGUUACCAACGGAAUAAGCACCGGCUAACUCUGUGCCAGCCGCCGCAGUAAGAC
rnacentral:rRNA from 1 species